rnacentral:rRNA from 1 species
AGGGCAGACGGUGGAUGCCUUGGCUCUCGGAGGCGAUGAAGGACGUGAUAAGCUGCGAUAAGCUUGGGGUAGGUGCAAAUAACCUUUGAUCCCAAGAUUUCCGAAUGGGGCAACCCGGCUGGUAGAAGGCCAGUCAUUCCGUAAGGAAGGCGAACGUGGGGAACUGAAACAUCUAAGUACCCAUAGGAGAAGAAAACAAAAGUGAUUCCGCAAGUAGUGGCGAGCGAACGCGGAACAGCCCAAACCGAUGAUGUUUAGGCAUUGUCGGGGUAGUAGGACCACGUUGUGGCAAGAGAUUAAGGAAGUAGAACGUUUUGGAACAAACGGCCGUAGACGGUGAAAGCCCGGUAUACGACUCUUUAACGAAGCCUAGUGGAAUCCUGAGUAGCGCGGAGCACGAGAAAUUCUGUGUGAAUCAGCGGGGCCCAUCCCGUAAGGCUAAAUACUCCCGAGAGACCGAUAGCGAACCAGUACUGUGAAGGAAAGGUGAAAAGCACUUCGAAUAGAAGAGUGAAAUAGUCCCUGAAACCGUGCGCCUACAAGCGGUCGGAGCUGUGUAAACAGUGACGGCGUGCCUUUUGCAUAAUGAACCUACGAGUUACUUUUUCCGGCAAGGUUAAGGGUCUUGAGACCUGCAGCCGAAGCGAAAGCGAGUCUUAACAGGGCGUUCAGUCGGAAGGAGUAGACGCGAAACCAAGUGAUCUACCCUUGGGCAGGUUGAAGGAUGGGUAACACCAUCUGGAGGACCGAACCAAUAAGCGUUGAAAAGCUUCUGGAUGACCUGAGGGUGGGGGUGAAAGGCUAAUCAAACUUGGAGAUAGCUCGUACUCCCCGAAAUGCAUUUAGGUGCAGCCUUGCGGGUUACUGAUGUGAGGUAGAGCGACUGAUAAGAUGCGAGGGCUUCACCGCCUAUCAAGUCUUGACAAACUCCGAAUGCGUGUCAGUUCUAUGUCAGGAGUGAGGGCAUGGGUGCUAAGGUCCAUGUCCUAAAGGAGAACAAUCCGGACCAACAGCUAAGGUCCCGAAAUGAAUACUAAGUUGAACUAACGAAGUCAGAUUGCUAAGACAGCUAGGAUGUUGGCUUGGAAGCAGCCAUUCAUUUAAAGAGUGCGUAACAGCUCACUAGUCGAGGAGUUUUGCAUGGAUAAUAAUCGGGCAUAAGCCCUUUACCGAAGCUGUGGAUGUCGUAAGACAUGGUAGGGGAGCAUUCCGGCGGCGACGAAGGCCGUCCUCGAGGACGACUGGAGCUUUCGGAAAAGCAAAUGUAGGUAUAAGUAACGAUAAAGGGGGCGUGAAACCCCCUCGCCAUAAGACUAAGGAUUCCUGAUCAACGCUAAUCGGAUCAGGGUAAGUCGGGCCCUAAGGCGCAGCCGAACGGCGUAGCCGAUGGAAGAAACGGUAAAGAUUCCGUUACUGGAUAUAGGAGCGAUGUGGAGACGGAGAAGUGACACACCCGCCUGCCGACGGAAGCGCAGGUUAAAGGAAGUAGGUAAACGCCGGGUAGGCAAAUCCGCCCAGCGUGCCGAAGCUGACAGUAUCGAGAGCCCCCGGGCAAUCGAAUAGCGGUGGUAAUCAGGCUCCCAAGAAAAUCCGCUAAGCAUAUUCUAUAUUCACCCGUACCCCAAACGGACACACGUAGUCGGGUAGAAUAUACCAAGGCGCUCGAAAGACUCACGGUUAAGGAACUAGGCAAAUUGACCCUGUAACCUCGGGAAAAAGGGUCCCCAGUAAGAUGGGGCGCAGAGAAUAGGUCCAGGCAACUGUUUAACAAAAACACAGGGCUGUGCGAAAUUUCAAGAUGAAGUAUACAGCCUGACACCUGCCCGGUGCCGGAAGGUUAAGAGGAGAGCUUAUCGCAAGAGAAGGCUUGAAUUGAAGCCCCGGUAAACGGCGGCCGUAACUAUAACGGUCCUAAGGUAGCGAAAUUCCUUGUCAGGUAAGUUCUGACCCGCACGAAUGGCGUAAUGAUUUGGGCACUGUCUCAACAGCCCGCCCGGCGAAAUUGUAGUACUGGUGAAGAUGCCAGUUACCCGCAACUAGACGGAAAGACCCCAUGGAGCUUUACUGCAGUUUAAUACUGGGAAUCGGUAAUUCAUGUACAGGAUAGGUGGGAGACUGAGAAGCAUGGCCGUCAGGUCGUGUGGAGUCACCGGUGGGAUACCACUCUUGGAUUGCUGGUUUCCUAACCUGCGGCCCUGAAUCGGGUCGGGGGACACUGUUAGACGGGCAGUUUGACUGGGGCGGUCGCCUCCAAAAGAGUAACGGAGGCGCUCAAAGGUUCGUUCAGCACGGACGGAAAUCGUGCAUUGAGUGUAAACGCAUAAACGAGCCUAACUGCGAGACCGACGGGUCGAGCAGUAACGAAAGUUGGAGUUAGUGAUCCGGUGGUAUGUGAGUGGAAAUGCCAUCGCUCAACGGAUAAAAGUUACCCUGGGGAUAACAGGCUGAUCUCCCCCAAGAGUCCACAUCGACGGGGAGGUUUGGCACCUCGAUGUCGGCUCAUCGCAUCCUGGGGCUGUAUUCGGUCCCAAGGGUUUGGCUGUUCGCCAAUUAAAGCGGCACGCGAGCUGGGUUCAGAACGUCGUGAGACAGUUCGGUCCCUAUCUGUUGCGGGCGUAAGAGAUUUGAAGGGAGCUGUCCUUAGUACGAGAGGACCGGGAUGGACGUACCUCUGGUGCACCAGUUGUCCUGCCAAGGGCAUAGCUGGGUAGCUAUGUACGGACGAGAUAAACGCUGAAAGCAUCUAAGCGUGAAACUCCCCCUAAGAUGAGAUCUCUCAUCCUUUA